rnacentral:misc_RNA from 1 species
GAUGAAGAACGCAGUGAAAUGCGAUAAGUAAUGUGAAUUGCAGAAUUCAGUGAAUCAUCGAAUCUUUGAACGCACCUUGCGCCCGCCAGUAUUCUGGCGGGCAUGCCUGUCUGAGCGUCGUUUCGACCCUCGCGCCCGGCUUCUGUCGGGGGCGGUGUUGGGGAUCGGCCACACCCUUCAGUGGGAGGCCGGCCCCUAAAUUCAGUGGCGACCACGCUGUAGCCUCCCCUGCGUAGUACUAAAACCACCUCGCAGGCGGAGAGCGGUGCGGCCCGCCGUAAAACCCCCCAACUUUUACAAGGUCGACCUCAGAUCAGGUAGGAAUACCCGCUGAACUUAAGCAUAUCAAUAAGCGGAGGA